rnacentral:rRNA from 1 species
AGUGAACGCUGGCGGUAGGCCUAACACAUGCAAGUCGAACGGCAGCACAGUAAGAGCUUGCUCUUACGGGUGGCGAGUGGCGGACGGGUGAGGAAUACAUCGGAAUCUACUUUUUCGUGGGGGAUAACGUAGGGAAACUUACGCUAAUACCGCAUACGACCUACGGGUGAAAGCAGGGGAUCUUCGGACCUUGCGUGAUUGAAUGAGCCGAUGUCGGAUUAGCUAGUUGGCGGGGUAAAGGCCCACCAAGGCGACGAUCCGUAGCUGGUCUGAGAGGAUGAUCAGCCACACUGGAACUGAGACACGGUCCAGACUCCUACGGGAGGCAGCAGUGGGGAAUAUUGGACAAUGGGCGCAAGCCUGAUACAGCCAUACCGCGUGGGUGAAGAAGGCCUUCGGGUUGUAAAGCCCUUUUGUUGGGAAAGAAAAGCAGCAGGUUAAUACCCCGCUGUUCUGACGGUACCCAAAGAAUAAGCACCGGCUAACUUCGUG